rnacentral:rRNA from 1 species
CCUACGGGGGGCAGCAGUGAGGAAUAUUGGUCAAUGGGCGCUAGCCUGAACCAGCCAAGUAGCGUGAAGGAUGACUGCUCUAUGGGUUGUAAACUUCUUUUAUAUGGGAAUAAAGUGCAGUAUGUGUACUUCUUUGCAUGUACCUUAUGAAUAAGGAUCGGCUAACUCCGUGCCAGCAGCCGCGGUAAUACGGAGGAUCCGAGCGUUAUCCGGAUUUAUUGGGUUGAAAGGGAGCGUAGGCGGGGUGUUAAGUCAGUUGUGAAAGUUUGCGGCUCAACCGUAAAAUGGCAGUUGAUACUGGCAGCCUAGAGGACAGUAGCGGGAGGCGGAAUUCGUGGUGUAGCGGUGAAAUGCUUAGAUAUCACGAAGAACUCUGAUUGCGAAGGCAGCCUGCUGGACUGUAACUGACGCUGAUGCUCGAAAGUGUGGGUAUCAAACAGGAUUAGAUACCCCAGUAGUC